CGGGGAGUGGCGCAGCCUGGUAGCGCACCUGCUUCGGGAGCAGGGGGCCGGAGGUUCGAAUCCUCUCUCCCCGACCA
rnacentral:tRNA from 1 species